rnacentral:piRNA from 1 species
UUACAUGAGUGUUGACAAUAUGAACUUGCU